AUUGAACGCUGGCGGCAUGCCUUACACAUGCAAGUCGAACGGCAGCACGGGAGCAAUCCUGGUGGCGAGUGGCGAACGGGUGAGUAAUAUAUCGGAACGUGCCCGGUCGUGGGGAUAACGUAGCGAAAGCUACGCUAAUACCGCAUACGAUCUAUGGAUGAAAGCGGGGGAUCGCAAGACCUCGCGCGAUUGGAGCGGCCGAUAUCAGAUUAAGGUGGUUGGUGAGGUAAAGGCUUACCAAGCCGACGAUCUGUAGCUGGUCUGAGAGGACGACCAGCCACACUGGACUGAGACACGGCCCAGACUCCUACGGAGGCAGCAGUGGGGAA
rnacentral:rRNA from 1 species